GACGAACGCUGGCGGCGUGCUUAACACAUGCAAGUCGAACGGAAAGGCCCUGCUUUUGUGGGGUGCUCGAGUGGCGAACGGGUGAGUAACACGUGAGUAACCUGCCCUUGACUUUGGGAUAACUUCAGGAAACUGGGGCUAAUACCGGAUAGGAGCUCCUGCUGCAUGGUGGGGGUUGGAAAGUUUCGGCGGUUGGGGAUGGACUCGCGGCUUAUCAGCUUGUUGGUGGGGUAGUGGCUUACCAAGGCUUUGACGGGUAGCCGGCCUGAGAGGGUGACCGGCCACAAUGGGACUGAGAGACGGCCCAGACGCCUACGGGAGGCAGCAGGGGGGAAUAUUGCACAAUGGGCGGAAGCCUGAUGCAGAAACGCCGCGGGCGGGAAGACGGCCUGCGGGUUGUAAACCGCUUUCGCCUGUGACGAAGCGGGAGUGACGGUAAUGGGUAAAGAAGCACCGGCUAACUACGUG
rnacentral:rRNA from 1 species